GAGUGGACAGAUGCUUGUUGGAGCUUACGAUAAAAUUUUAUUUACAAAAGCUGGCACCAGUCCGUGGUCAUAGUUCGCUGGUCUGAGUUUUUAAAAUAUUGCCAUAAAUGCUAUUUAUCUCGUUUAGUUAGAUUUUUGGCGCUCCACACAUUUUGCACUCAAGACAGCUGCCUUGCUCUAGUCUGGGGCCUGACUCUGUUCCCUCCAUCUACCCAUCCUGGAGAUGGAAAAGACCUGAGGCAUCUGGCCACUAAGGCAUAACCCGUGUCUUUCUGGAACCUUGUUUUAGCUCAUCAUACUUGUUACCAGCCUGAGCAGGAAAUGAACUCAGAUUCAGCAGCUUGUGGCUCAAAAGUCAAUUUUGGAGAGACGAGGUUUGGUGGAAAAAGGAAGAUGUUUUAUUCAGGGAGUGGCAAACUGGGGAGAUGGUGAACCAAAGCCAUCUCCCAGUUGCCAAAUCAGAGGGCAAGAGUUUUUAAAGGAUGUGUGGGAGGUGGGUUGGGGGGUGGUGGUGGUGGUGAUGGUCUAUGUGAAGACCUGAUUGGCUCCAACAAUCACCUUGAAACUGCUCCUGCAGUGGUCUGGUCAGCAUCAUCCUGACUGUUUUAAAGUGCAGUUAAUCUUCAACUUCAGGGCUGGUUUGUUGCUCUUUUCUUGAGGCCAGUUCCUGGAAUUAUGCUUGCCAUAAAUUCAGUACUGCUCAAGAUGGAGCAGUUUAUGUCAUGGCUACCGUUUGGUCAUCAUGCUUUUUCUCUCUGGUGACGGUUAAAGCAACGGAGGAACAGGUCUCAGAUGCUAUUAUCUAUGUCCUUCAGGGAGGAACUAAAGAUUCUGUGACUGCUAUAUGGCUGAUUUCCUGUUUAAAUUGUUACCAGUUCUCUAGGCCUAAUUGCUAUUUUUGUCACUACAUGGCUACAUUCUUUCAAUCAUUAAUUCUUGAGCCAGAUUUUUGUGACUCCUGGUAGGCCCCUAAGAGACUAAAGCCUUUUUCUACAAAUAAAAACAAGAGACACAGAAGGGCUUUAGUACCUGGGAGGGUACUGCAGGGUCCUCUCUGUUUCAAACCUACUAAAAUUUGUGUAAAAUAUUUGCAUAUACCAAAAAAGGUAUACAAAAUAAUAUAGUGGACAUUUGUUUAUCUACUACUCAGAUUGGAGAUGUAACUUCACUGUACAGUUCAGCUUCAUUUUAAAAGCCCCUCAAUAUUGAGAAGUGUUUCUGGUGGGAGGGACUGUGUUCCUGCUGUUUGACUUCACUUCUAAGGUAAUGGAAGCCAACUAAAAUACUGUGUGGCUGAGGACAUCUGGGUGUUGUGAAAAGGGUUUGGAUGACCCUUAUAAUAAGUGACCGGAGCUAGGCUUAGAUGCCUCAUUGUAUGAUCUCUGCUAAAUCACCUUACAUCUUUCAGCCUCAGUUUCCCUGGAAGUCAAUUGGGAACAAUAAUACUUACCCCCUAAGAUGUAUGAGAAGACAAUAACUGUGAAAUGACCGCCCACAACUGUCAGGGAAUUUCAGCCAAAGUCUACCAGUAACGGAUAUGUAUUUAAAUAAGUUGGAUUUUUUACUGUUGAGCAAGGUAUCUUAGUAAGUGGAUGUAAGAAAGAAACUAAAACAGGAUUUUAGGCUUUGGUUAGAUGACUUGGGAGAGGGUCUCAGGGGGCAGGGUUUUGCUGUGAAUUGGAUGCUGUCAGAAAGUGGGGCGUUCUGUGAUGGGAUAUUUUGUAUGGUACAGUGACUGCAUUUUUGUCUAUGCUUAGACAAAAGCAUGAAGUGGCUUUGUGUUUCAUUUUAUCACGGCAUCAGAGGAAACAUGCCUUACUUUGUUUGGGCUGCCAUAACAAGUUAUCAUAAACAGGGUGGCUUAUAAACAAAUUUAUUGCACAUUGUUCAGGAGGCUGGGAAUUUCAAGAUCAGGGUGGUGGCAGGUUUGGUAUCUGGUGAGAGCCCACUUCCUGGGUCAUAGAUCUCUGCUUUUUGGAUCUGUCCUUACAUGGCAGAAGGAAUGAAGCAACCCUCACAGCCUCUUUUAUGAGGGCACUAAUCUCAUCGAUGAGGGCUCUGUCCUUAUGACCUAAUCAUCACCCAAAGGCUCCGCCUCCAUGUACCAUCACAUUAGAGCAUGGGUCAAGAGUCUGGCAAGCUCUCGGGCACUGGUGCAGAACAAGGCAGGUGAGAGGCACGAAACUGCUCUGCAUUCCAGAGAGUGGGAGAGAAAAUACACACAGAAUAUUGUUGGAAGAAGAGCUCUUGCAGACUGUCGGAAUAGUCAAACAGAUGAGAGGACAUUUGAUCUGCUUUGGAAGGAAGGGUAAAUGUGGUGUUUGGAAAGGAGAGUGAAAAGCAUUCAAAAGCAUUCUAGCACACCCAGGGUAGGAAAGGGGGCCAGCACAGGGAAGUAUGGGUGGAGAUGUUGAGGUAAUAUUAAGAUAAAUGGAUUAAAAAAAACACCCCAUCCCUUUCCUGGGCAAUAAAAGCAUUUUGAUGCUAAAAGUCUUCCAUCCUAGAGGUCAUGAAAUUCAGCUGGCCACUUCUACUUAGGGGAAGUGACUUGUUUGAGGAAAAGCAAAUUUGUUUGUUUCUAGGGUUGUCAGAGAGCACACUGGGAAUCAGUUUUUUUUGUUUUGUUCUUUUCAUUUUUGUCCACCCCUCAGCAUAUGGAGUUCCUGGGUCAGGGAACAGAUCCGAACCCAGUGAUGACCUAAGCUGCAGCUGUGGGCAAUGCCGGAUCCUUAACCCGCUGUGCUGGGCUGGGGAUUGAACCCGUGUUUCAGUGCUCCCAAGACGCUGCCUAUUCCCUUGUGCCACAGUGGGACCUCCACACACUGGGAAUUAGGAUGUGUGUUGAGAUGGAGGCUGGGAAAGAAAAAAGGUAAAAGUGUUUAUUCUGAGCUGCCUGUCCCUAGCUCAAUUCUGUGAUCUAUACAGCAUCUUCUCAAUUGUGUGGUGAAUUAACUUGUUAAAGGGACCCUUAUUUAGAACUUUUGUGAAGGCUUUUUUUUUUUUUUUUUUUUUUUUUUUUUUCCUUUUCUAGGGCCGCUCCCGCAGCCUAUGGAGUUUCCCAGGCUAGGGGUCCAAUCGGAGCUGUUGCUGCCGGCCUAUGCCAGAGCCACAGCACUGCAGGAUCCGAGCCGCGUCUGCAACCUACACCACAGCUCACGGUAACGCCGGAUCCCCAACCCACUGAGCAAGGCCAAGGAUCGAACCUGAAACCUCAUGGUUUCUAGUCGGAUUCGUUAACCACUGUGCCACGAUGGGAACUCCUGUGAAGACCUUUUUGAAAGUCUUAGGAAUCACCUUCUCUUGGACCUACUUACUCCACAGAAAACAAUUUCUUAUUUCCUCAGAAUGGAAUCACUCUCUUGUUUUGGCCAAGAUGAUGUGGGGCCUUUUAGUGUUAUUCCCAGCUCCUCCCUGGAGUUGAAGGGUUGGGAUU
rnacentral:lncRNA from 1 species